GGCACCACUGUACAAUGCAACUGCCUCGCUUGUACGGCAACAUUCUUGCACGCUCCCAACGACUAUGGAAAAGUAAUUUAUAGAACCGAUGUGGCUCCUUCACUAGCUACAGACACCUUUUCACCGACCCUCGUUUUUUCUGUUAGGGGCCAGGACUUACCUUUACAUGAAAUACUAAAUGCUUCAUGUGAGAACAGUGGCAUGCAGUCUCAGCGUCGUGUUACAUUUCACCUUCCUGAUGGCUCUCAAGAAAGCUGCAGCGACAGUGGUCUAGGAGACCAUGACCCUGUAGGAAGUGGCACUAUGAUCUCACAACCUCUUCCACUGGUUCAGCCACAGGACGAAUUCUACGACCAAGCUUCUCCAGACAAGAGGACCGAAGCUGAUGGUAACUCUGACCCCAACUCUGGUGAGUCCAUUAUG